UACGGGGGAGCAAGCGUUGUUCGGAUUUACUGGGCGUAAAGGGCGCGUAGGCGGCCACCGCAAGUCGACUGUGAAAUCUCCGGGCUUAACCCGGAAAGGUCAGCCGAUACUGCGGGGCUAGAGUGCAGAAGGGGCAACUGGGAAUUCUCGGUGUAGCGGUGAAAUGCGUAGAUAUCGAGAGGAACACCUGCGGCGAAGGCGGGUUGCUGGGCUGACACGUGACGCUGAGGCGCGAAAGCUAGGGGAGCGAACGGGA
rnacentral:rRNA from 1 species